rnacentral:rRNA from 1 species
AAAAAAGGUAAGCUACUAAGAGCGAAUGGUGGAUGCCUUGACUGGUAAAGGCGAUGAAGGACGUACUAGACUGCGAUAAGCUACGGGGAGCUGUCAAGAAGCUUUGAUCCGUAGAUUUCCGAAUGGGGCAACCCAAUGUAUAGAGAUAUACAUUACCUAUAUAGGAGCGAACGAGGGGAAUUGAAACAUCUUAGUACCCUCAGGAAAAGAAAUCAAUAGAGAUUGCGUCAGUAGCGGCGAGCGAAAGCGCAAGAGGGCAAACCCAGUGCUUGCACUGGGGGUUGUAGGACUGCAAUGUGCAAGAGGUAAGUUUAGCAGAACAUUCUGGAAAGUAUAACCAUAGAGGGUGAUAGUCCCGUAUGCGAAAAACAAACCUUAGCUAGCAGUAUCCUGAGUAGGGCGGGACACGAGGAAUCCUGUCUGAAUCCGGGUCGACCACGAUCCAACCCUAAAUACUAAUACCAGAUCGAUAGUGCACAAGUACCGUGAGGGAAAGGUGAAAAGAACUGAGGUGAUCAGAGUGAAAUAGAACCUGAAACCAUUUGCUUACAAUCAUUCAGAGCCCUAUGUAGCAAUACAGGGUGAUGGACUGCCUUUUGCAUAAUGAGCCUGCGAGUUGUGGUGUCUGGCAAGGUUAAGCAAACGCGAAGCCGUAGCGAAAGCGAGUCUGAAUAGGGCGCUUAGUCAGAUGCUGCAGACCCGAAACGAAGUGAUCUAUCCAUGAGCAAGUUGAAGCUAGUGUAAGAACUAGUGGAGGACUGAACCCAUAGGCGUUGAAAAGCCCCGGGAUGACUUGUGGAUAGGGGUGAAAGGCCAAUCAAACUUCGUGAUAGCUGGUUCUCUCCGAAAUAUAUUUAGGUAUAGCGUUGUGUCGUAAUAUAAGGGGGUAGAGCACUGAAUGGGCUAGGGCAUACACCAAUGUACCAAACCCUAUCAAACUCCGAAUACCUUAUAUGUAAUCACAGCAGUCAGGCGGCGAGUGAUAAAAUCCGUCGUCAAGAGGGAAACAACCCAGACUACCAGCUAAGGUCCCUAAAUCUUACUUAAGUGGAAAACGAUGUGAAGUUACUUAAACAACCAGGAGGUUGGCUUAGAAGCAGCCAUCCUUUAAAGAAAGCGUAAUAGCUCACUGGUCUAGUGAUUUUGCGCGGAAAAUAUAACGGGGCUAAAGUAAGUACCGAAGCUGUAGACUUGCACACAACUUAGAUUAUUUAAGUUUAGAAUAUGAGAAACUAAGUUAUAUGUUUAGUUAUAUUUUUACUGAUUUUUAUAGAGUAAAGAUAGAAAUAAAACUUAGUAAAAUCAGUAAAAAUAUUCUUAGACUAAAGUUAAGUAGUUUAAGUUGUGUGCAAGUGGUAGGAGAGCGUUCUAUUUGCGUCGAAGGUAUACCGGUAAGGAGUGCUGGAGCGAAUAGAAGUGAGCAUGCAGGCAUGAGUAGCGAUAAUUAAUGUGAGAAUCAUUAACGCCGUAAACCCAAGGUUUCCUACGCGAUGCUCGUCAUCGUAGGGUUAGUCGGGUCCUAAGUCGAGUCCGAAAGGGGUAGACGAUGGCAAAUUGGUUAAUAUUCCAAUACCAACAUUAGUGUGCGAUGGAAGGACGCUUAGGGCUAAGGGGGCUAGCGGAUGGAAGUGCUAGUCUAAGGUCGUAGGAGGUUAUACAGGCAAAUCCGUAUAACAAUACUCCGAGAACUGAAAGGCUUUUUGAAGUCUUCGGAUGGAUAGAAGAACCCCUGAUGCCGUCGAGCCAAGAAAAGUUUCUAAGUUUAGCUAAUGUUGCCCGUACCGUAAACCGACACAGGUGGGUGGGAUGAGUAUUCUAAGGCGCGUGGAAGAACUCUCUUUAAGGAACUCUGCAAAAUAGCACCGUAUCUUCGGUAUAAGGUGUGGUUAGCUUUGUAUUAGGAUUUACUCCGAAAGCAAGGAAACUUACAACAAAGAGUCCCUCCCGACUGUUUACCAAAAACACAGCACUCUGCUAACUCGUAAGAGGAUGUAUAGGGUGUGACGCCUGCCCGGUGCUCGAAGGUUAAUUGAUGGGGUUAGCAUUAGCGAAGCUCUUGAUCGAAGCCCGAGUAAACGGCGGCCGUAACUAUAACGGUCCUAAGGUAGCGAAAUUCCUUGUCGGUUAAAUACCGACCUGCAUGAAUGGCGUAACGAGAUGGGAGCUGUCUCAAAGAGGGAUCCAGUGAAAUUGUAGUGGAGGUGAAAAUUCCUCCUACCCGCGGCAAGACGGAAAGACCCCGUGGACCUUUACUACAGCUUGACACUGCUACUUGGAUAAGAAUGUGCAGGAUAGGUGGGAGGCUUUGAGUAUAUGACGCCAGUUGUAUAUGAGCCAUUGUUGAGAUACCACUCUUUCUUAUUUGGGUAGCUAACCAGCUUGAGUUAUCCUCAAGUGGGACAAUGUCUGGUGGGUAGUUUGACUGGGGCGGUCGCCUCCCAAAUAAUAACGGAGGCUUACAA